GAUGAACGCUGGCGGCGUGCUUAACACAUGCAAGUCGAACGAUGACUUCUGUGCUUGCACAGAAUGAUUAGUGGCGAACGGGUGAGUAACACGUGAGUAACCUGCCCUUGACUUCGGGAUAAGCCUGGGAAACCGGGUCUAAUACCGGAUACGACCUCCUGGCGCAUGCCAUGGGGGUGGAAAGCUUUAUGCGGUUUUGGAUGGACUCGCGGCCUAUCAGCUUGUUGGUUGGGGUAAUGGCCCACCAAGGCGACGACGGGUAGCCGGCCUGAGAGGGUGACCGGCCACACUGGGACUGAGACACGGCCCAGACUCCUACGGGAGGCAGCAGUGGGGAAUAUUGCACAAUGGGCGGAAGCCUGAUGCAGCGACGCCGCGUGAGGGAUGACGGCCUUCGGGUUGUAAACCUCUUUCAGCAGGGAAGAAGCGAAA
rnacentral:rRNA from 2 species